rnacentral:rRNA from 1 species
AGCGAACGCUGGCGGCAGGCCUAACACAUGCAAGUCGAACGCCCGUAGCAAUACGGGAGUGGCAGACGGGUGAGUAACGCGUGGGAACGUGCCCUUCGGUUCGGAAUAACCCAGGGAAACUUGGGCUAAUACCGGAUACGUCCGUAAGGAGAAAGAUUUAUCGCCGAAGGAUCGGCCCGCGUCCGAUUAGCUAGUUGGUGAGGUAAUGGCUCACCAAGGCGACGAUCGGUAGCUGGUCGGAGAGGAUGAUCAGCCACACCGGGACUGAGACACGGCCCAGACUCCUACGGGAGGCAGCAGUGGGGAACAUUGGACAAUGGGCGCAAGCCGGAUCCAGCCAUGCCGCGUGGGUGAUGAAGGCCCUAGGGUUGUAAAGCCCUUUCGGCGGGGAAGAUAAUGACGGUACCCGCAGAAGAAGCCCCGGCUAACUUCGUGCCAGCAGCCGCCGUAA